rnacentral:rRNA from 1 species
GAUGAACGCUAGCUACAGGCUUAACACAUGCAAGUCGAGGGCGAGCGGGAGGGAGUGCUUGCAUUCUCCGCCGGCGACCGGCGCACGGUGGAGUAACGCGUAUCGGACCUGCCUCAUACCCGGGAACAGCCUUGCGAAAGUAAGAUUAAUGCCCGAUGUUCCGCAGAUGCCGCAUGGUGUCUUCGGCAAAGAUUUCUUCGGUAUGAGAUGGCGAUGCGUCCCGUUACGUC